AUCCAGUUGACGAGUGCCAAAUAGGACGAAACGCGAGUCAAACUGGAU
rfam:Schistosoma curassoni strain Dakar, Senegal genome assembly, scaffold: SCTD_scaffold0000009